rnacentral:tRNA from 1 species
UUUAUAUAAUAUAAAUAAUAUAUUUGACUUCCAAUCAAAAAAUCUAAUUUUUAGUAUAAAUA